AUUGCGUUCCCCGAGUGUGUUUCUCUGCUCGACGUUCGCAUGCGUGUUUACCGCUUGCACGAUCCUGCCAAAUAUAACCAAGAAUCGUGAAACGCGUGCGCAACGAUCGCCUCAUAAAAGCGUGGAAAGCUCGAGGUGGCUAGUCGUCGGUCGCCGCGAUUAAAUGUUAACGCGAGUGGCUGGCUAACUAACGCUCUUGCCCGCUUGCUUUCUUGACUGUUUCAUUGGCUCGUGUCGUGUCACCGUUGCUGCUGCCACCCGUCAUGGCAAAUGGCCAACCGAAACAAGCACACGCGUAGGCGAAUCGCGUGUUAGGGUAGAUUCUGGCUUAGGUGACAACAACAAUACAAUGCAUCACGAAAGACUUUCAUUGGUUGGACAAGCCAAAAUUCCACCCAGGGACUCGAGAACUAUGAAAUCACGUCAUGAUGUUACACGGGACAACGAUCCUGCAGAAUGUAAGUUCCAAAAGAGCGAGCCGUUUCCUUGAACGAGAAGGAAGU